rnacentral:rRNA from 1 species
AUUGAACGCUGGCGGCAUGCCUUACACAUGCAAGUCGAACGGUAACAGGUCUUCGGAUGCUGACGAGUGGCGCACGGGUGAGUAAUACAUCGGAACGUGCCCGAUCGUGGGGGAUAACGAGGCGAAAGCUUUGCUAAUACCGCAUACGAUCUACGGAUGAAAGCGGGGGAUCUUCGGACCUCGCGCGGACGGAGCGGCCGAUGGCAGAUUAGGUAGUUGGUGGGAUAAAAGCUUACCAAGCCGACGAUCUGUAGCUGGUCUGAGAGGAUGAUCAGCCACACUGGGACUGAGACACGGCCCAGACUCCUACGGGAGGCAGCAGUGGGGAAUUUUGGACAAUGGGCGAAAGCCUGAUCCAGCCAUGCCGCGUGCAGGAUGAAGGCCUUCGGGUUGUAAACUGCUUUUGUACGGAACGAAAAGCCUCUUUCUAAUAAAGAGGGGUCACGACGGUACCGUAAGAAUAAGCACCGGCUAACUACGUG